GAGCACAAGCUUUCGUGAGCCACAGCUCACCCCAUCGGAUGCACCCAAUUUGCAUCCGAUGGGGUGGGCUGUGGCUCACGAGGGCUUGUGCUCUAGUGGAUUUGUUGGUCUCUGGGGUGCCACAGGUACUCCUUUUCUUUUUGCGAAUACAGACUAACACGGCUGCUACUCUGAAACCUCUCCU